rnacentral:lncRNA from 1 species
AGUCGCACAUCAGUUAUGAGUUAAGAGGGAGUAUGACUUAUAUGGACUAAAAUUUUUUCUCUCCCCAUAAAUGGUAAAAUCAUGAAGCUCUAAAAGAUCAGGACUCACUGAAGCUCAAAGAUGGUCAUGAGUCAGAACGGAUAAUACCUCAUGUACAUGGAAGUAGAGUUACUCCAACCAUCCAAGCCAUCUCACCCCU